UACGUAGGGUGCAAGCGUUAUUCGGAAUUACUGGGCGUAAAGCGUGCGCAGGCGGCUUUGUAAGUCUGACGUGAAAUCCCCGGGCUCAACCUGGGAAUUGCGUUGGAGACUGCAAGGCUGGAGUCUGGCAGAGGGGGGUAGAAUUCCACGUGUAGCAGUGAAAUGCGUAGAGAUGUGGAGGAACACCGAUGGCGAAGGCAGCCCCCUGGGUCAAGACUGACGCUCAUGCACGAAAGCGUGGGGAGCAAACAGG
rnacentral:rRNA from 1 species